rnacentral:piRNA from 1 species
GCAAAAUAUCAUGAGUGCA